rnacentral:rRNA from 1 species
UACGUAGGGUGCGAGCGUUGUCCGGAAUCAUUGGGCGUAAAGCGCGUGUAGGCGGCCCGGUAAGUCCGCUGUGAAAGUCGGGGGCUCAACCCUCGAAUGCCGGUGGAUACUGUCGGGCUAGAGUGCGGAAGAGGCGAGUGGAAUUCCUGGUGUAGCGGUGAAAUGCGCAGAUAUCAGGAGGAACACCAAUUGCGAAGGCAGCUCGCUGGGACGCUACUGACGCUGAGACGCGAAAGCGUGGGGAGCAAACAGG